AGUGAACGCUGGCGGCGUGCUUAACACAUGCAAGUCGAACGAGAACGGAUUAUAGCUUGCUAUAAUUGUCAGCUAAGUGGCGCACGGGUGAGUAAUGUAUAGGUAAUAUGCCUCUUACUAAGGGAUAACAAUUGGAAACGAUUGCUAAUACCUUAUACUCCUUAUUAACCUAAGUUAAUAAGGGAAAGAUUUAUUGGUAAGAGAUUAGCCUGUAUUGUAUCAGUUAGUUGGUGGGGUAAUGGCUUACCAAGACUAUGACACAUAACUGGUUUGAGAGGAUGAUCAGUCACACUGGAACUGAGACACGGUCCAGACUCCUACGGGAGGCAGCAGUGGGGAAUAUUGCACAAUGGACGAAAGUCUGAUGCAGCAACGCCGCGUGGAGGAUGACACAUUUCGGUGCGUAAACUCCUUUUAUAUGAGAAGAUAAUGACGGUAUUAUAUGAAUAAGCACCGGCUAACUCCGUGCCAGCCGCCGCUGUAACAC
rnacentral:rRNA from 1 species